AUUGAAGGCUGAAAUUCGCCUUCAUGAAGCUGGAAUUGCUAGUAAUGGCAGGUCAGCAUACUGCCGUGAAUACGUUCCCGGGCCUUGUACACACCGCCCGUCACACCGUGAGAGUUGGGAAUACCCGAAGCCUGUGAGCUAACUGUAAGGAGGCAGCAGUCGAAGGUAGAAUCAAUGAUUGGGGUGAAGUCGUAACAAGGUAGC
rnacentral:rRNA from 1 species